GGGGAAGUAUUGCACAAUGGACGGAAGUCUGAUGCAGCAACGCCGCGUGCGGGAUGACGGCCUUCGGGUUGUAAACCGCUUUCAUCCAUGACGAAGCGAGAGUGACGGUAGUGGGAGAAGAAGCACCGGCUAACUACGUGCCAGCAGCCGCGGUGAUACGUAGGGUGCGAGCGUUGUCCGGAUUUAUUGGGCGUAAAGAGCUUGUAGGCGGUUUGUUGCGUCGGGAGCGAAAACUCAGGGCUUAACCCUG
rnacentral:rRNA from 1 species